GCUAAAACAAAUCUUUAUCUCCUGGCCAUUUUGUGUGGAGCACAAACCGAAUUACCAAUUCUGAACUCCACCCACACAAACUAACUCUCGAUCACUGGGGAACUGAUGCAUUCACAGGAUUUAAAACUAAACUGUCGCUCUUUGAGCCAUUCUUCAAACUCAUAAUAAAACAGGCGGCCUGUGUGCAGGGAAGAGGGAGCCGUCGUAAAGGUGAACAGAAACAGUCUACCCAAGAGCGGAAAGUCUCCCAAGAGGAGAGAGGAAAAAAAAAAAACCUGGAAAGAAGGAUGAUACAGCAACUGACCACCAAGACAAUCCAAUUUUUAAAAUCAUGGCAUCAUUAAAAACUGGGACCCUAUAAUACAAGCCCAACAAUGAAAUAAAGCCCAAUUUGCCAUUA